rnacentral:rRNA from 1 species
UACGACUACAUAUCAGGCAUAUCAAUAAGCGGAGGAAAAGAAACUAACAAGGAUUCCCUUAGUAACGGCGAGUGAAGCGGGAAGAGCUCAAAUUUGAAAUCUUCAAGGUUUUACCUUGACGAAUAGUAGUUUAAAGAAGUGUUUUCUGUUGAAGUUUUGGUAAAAGUUCUUUGGAAUAGGACAUCAUAGAGGGUGAGAAUCCCGUAUUUGACCAUUAUUUUCAGCUGUGUGAUACACUUUCAAAGAGUCGGAUUGUUUGGGAAUGCAGUUCAAAAUGGGUGGUAAAUUUCAUCUAAAGCUAAAUAUUGGCGAGAGACCGAUAGCGAACAAGUACCGUGAGGGAAAGAUGAAAAGAACUUUGAAAAGAGAGUUAAACAGUACGUGAAAUUGUCAAAAGGGAAGCGUUUGACACCAGUGUUGUUUAGUUGAAAAUCAAUUCAAUAGUUUUUGAUUCUAAGUAGUAUUGACUUCAUCAGCUUGCUGCUUUCUUCUCAGAAAUUGUUGAAUGCACUUUUCAGUUAACAAGUCAACAUCAAUUUCUUUUGUUGUAAAAGGGUAAGAGGAAGGUGGCUUGCGCUUCGGCUCAAGUGUUUAUAGCCUUUUAUCUCUGCAAUCGGAGAGAUUGAGGUCUGCAGCGUAGAUCCUUCGGGGUUAGAUACAUUGGUGCUAAGCUAUAGCCUUGUAUAGACAACUUGUUGACUAUGCUCAGUCAUGUAGCUUACUCGCUGAUGCUAUUUUACCUACGCUUAGGAUGUUGAGCGCAUGUCUCUCUCU